GCUUCCUAUCUCCUCAGAUUGCUGAUAGUGUGCAGUAUUCCGAUACUGCACAGAGUAUAUGGUCCCAAAUUGAGAAAAGAUAUGGUACUCCUAACAAGACUAAAAUUUUUGAAUUAAAAAGGGAACUUUCUCACACAUCUCAAGGCUGUUUAGAUGUAGCCUCAUAUUUUAAUAAACUCAAAGGCAUGUGGGAUGAGUUGGGCACAAUGUGCAUAAAUCAUGGGCAGAGAUGUGUGUGUGCUGCUAAAAAUGGAAUAAUUCAGGAAGAUGAUGAAAAUCAGUCCAGACUCUGUCUUUUAAUGCUAAUACAAAUAAGCACUUAGUUGGGUUUAAUCAGGCCACAGUGCCUAGUCCACAUGUUUUCAGACCCAGAGUUAAUUUUGAGAAAAGUAGAGGGCCCUUAUUUUGCAGAUACUGCAAGAAAUCUGGGCACUUAAUUGAUAAGUGCUACAAGAUUCAUGGGUUUCCUCAAAAUAUCAAAUACAACAAGGGAAGGAAAUCUGCUGCUGCUCAUGUCUCCACUGGUGAAGAAAGUGUGUCUGUUACUCAUGGAAUCCUA
rnacentral:lncRNA from 1 species